GACGGAGGAUGCAAGUGUUAUCCGGAAUCACUGGGCGUAAAGCGUCUGUAGGCGGUUUAAAAAGUCCACUGUUAAAGAUUGAAGCUUAACUUCAAAAAUGCCGUGGAAACUUUUAAACUUGAGUAUGAUAGGGGUAGAGGGAAUUUCCAGUGGAGCGGUGAAAUGCGUAGAUAUUGGAAAGACCACCAAUGGCGAAGGCACUCUACUGGGCCAUUACUGACACUGAGAGACGAAAGCUAGGGGAGCAAAUGGG
rnacentral:rRNA from 1 species